rnacentral:rRNA from 1 species
UACGAGGGGGGCUAGCGUUGUUCGGAAUCACUGGGCGUAAAGCGCACGUAGGCGGACGUUUAAGUCAGGGGUGAAAUGCCGAGGCUCAACCUUGGAACUGCCUUUGAUACUGGGCAUCUGGAGUCCGGGAGAGGUGAGUGGAACUGCGAGUGUAGAGGUGAAAUUCGUAGAUAUUCGCAAGAACACCAGUGGCGAAGGCGGCUCACUGGCCCGGUACUGACGCUGAGGUGCGAAAGCGUGGGGAGCAAACAGG